rnacentral:rRNA from 1 species
GACGAACGCUGGCGGCGUGCUUAACACAUGCAAGUCGAACGGAAAGGCCCUGCUUUUGUGGGGUGCUCGAGUGGCGAACGGGUGAGUAACACGUGAGUAACCUGCCCUUGACUUUGGGAUAACUUCAGGAAACUGGGGCUAAUACCGGAUAGGAGCUCCUGCUGCAUGGUGGGGGUUGGAAAGUUUCGGCGGUUGGGGAUGGACUCGCGGCUUAUCAGCUUGUUGGUGGGGUAGUGGCUUACCAAGGCUUUGACGGGUAGCCGGCCUGAGAGGGUGACCGGCCACAUUGGGACUGAGAUACGGCCAAGACUCCGACGGGAGGCAGCGGGGGGGAUUAUUGAACAAGGGGCGGAAGCCUGAUGCAGCACCGCCGCGUGGGGGAUGCCGGCCUUCGGUUUGAAAACCGCUUUCGCCGGUGACGAAGGGUGAGUGACGGUAAUGGGUAAAGAAGCCCCGGCAAACUACGUC